rnacentral:lncRNA from 1 species
CUUGUCCCCUGAAUUCUUCUGUCUCGGGGAAUUGCUCUCUCUGAUUAACAAUCAAGAAACUGCACGAGGCAGGUGUCACAACUCACUUUUUCCUUCAGCUUGUUUGCAUCAGGCCUGAUUUUGUUGGGGACAGGAGGAGAAAUCUGCAGGAUCUCAGCAUCUUUCAAGAGGGUUUCAAGCAGUUUGCAAUGAGUGACCCAUGGGCGUGGCUGCUCUUGGCUUGGAGAAGAGCUCAAGGACUGGUUACAGUUUCGGAUAAGACAUGGCGUGGUUGCCAUUUUCUCUCUACCUUCUGGGGACCAGGCUGUGUAGAGCUGCGUCCACACAAGAUCUGGGUCUAGAUCAGCCUCCAGUUGUCAGAGCCCUCAGAGGGGAGUCUGUGACUCUGCCCUGCUCCUGUGACGUCUGUAGCUACCCUGAGUUCUACUCCGAAUGGCGUUUCACCAGUGGGAACAGGGGCCCGGGCACCAUCCUGGCCGUGAAGACGGCCAUCAGUUCCAAACACCUGGACCCACAGUACAAGUUUUCUGUGACGCACCAGAGAAACUCAAGAUCUCUGCUGCUUAUUAAAAACUUGCAGAUCAACGACCAGGGAACCUACGUGUGUACAAUGAUUAAAAACGUGCCGCCUCCUACGGUGAUCUUGAAAGGGCCCGGGACUCAGCUUGAAGUCUAUGCUUUGCCCAAAGUCUGGCUCUUUGCUUCUCCCUCGGAAGCAGCUCUCCCCAUGGCCCUAGUGACCUGUGCAGUGAGGGACUUUUAUCCACAAUCUCUGUACACCACAAUGAAUGCAACAUGUGGGGGGUACGCGGCGCUGGUGGACAAUGCUUCGGCUGUCAUGACUGGUGAUGGGACCUUCAGCAUGACCCUACAGGCCUGGGUGAAUGUGACCGGCUGCCAGAAUGGGACGGAAGUGACCUGUUUGGUUAGACAGCUCACAGCUGAGACACGCAGGAUUCUCUGGAUACCCAGGGCAAAAAACAAAGCAGCGCUGUUACCUGUGCCGAUCAUCCUCAUCAGAUUUGUUUUUGGAGGAGCUGUGGUUCUUUGGCUUGUUUUCCUGCUAGGCUGCUUCAUGAAAAGUAAGUAUCCAGGAAAUGGAGGCAUUUGAUGCUGAUCAAUGUAGCGUUCAACAAAGCAUCUCA